UGGGGAAUAUUGGACAAUGGGCGCAAGCCUGAUCCAGCAAUGCCGCGUGUGUGAAGAAGGCCUUCGGGUUGUAAAGCACUUUUAUCAGGAGCGAAACGCUGUCGGCUAAUACCCGGCGGAACUGACGGUACCUGAGGAAUAAGCACCGGCUAACUUCGUGCCAGCAGCCGCGGUAAUACGAAGGGUGCAAGCGUUAAUCGGAAUUACUGGGCGUAAAGCGUGCGUAGGCGGUUUCUUAAGUCUGCUGUGAAAUCCCCGGGCUCAACCUGGGAAUGGCAGUGGAUACUGGGAGGCUAGAGUGUGUCAGAGGGUGGUGGAAUUCCCGGUGUAGCGGUGAAAUGCGUAGAGAUCGGGAGGAACAUCAGUGGCGAAGGCGGCCACCUGGACAACACUGACGCUGAGGCACGAAAGCGUGGGGAGCAAACAGGAUUAGAUACCCUGGUAGUCCACGCCCUAAACGAUGCGAACUGGAUGUUGGUCUCAACUCGGAGAUCAGUGUCGAAGCUAACGCGUUAAGUUCGCCGCCUGGGGAGUACGGUCGCAAGAUUAAAACUCAAAUGAAUUGACGGGGUCAUAGCUGUUUCCUG
rnacentral:rRNA from 1 species